rnacentral:tRNA from 1 species
GGGGGAUUAGCUCAGUCGGUUAGAGCACUUGCUUCACACGCAAGGGGCCGGUGGUUCGAGUCCACUAUCUCCCACCA